GAGUUUUGUCGUCACCAAAGGAGAACCGGGAUGAGAGGUCGUGUUUAGAAAGACAGCGCCCAUGGCAGCGUGCAGGUGCACCAACAAAGACAGGAGUGUGGAGUCUCGGGAGACUAGUACUGUCCACGAGCGAGACACGAGAGUCUGAACUCAGGCGGAAGCCGUGGAUGGAGAGCAAGAGGGUGCCUUUCACCGGUGGAUCCCCGCGACCUGGAGAAUGGACUGGAUGUGGGUGGUCUCCUGAGCACCGGGAGCCCAGAGUGAAGCCUUGAGAUCUGGGAGGAAGCCAGGCAGCACUCUGCAAUUUUAAACAGGAUCUCACGAAGUGCCGGUCAAGUGUGGGCGGGCGCUGCCGCUUUGGGAAUCUCCACACACCCACCGAGAAUGGGAGUUGAAGGCAAGAAGCCUAGAAUGUUCUGGAGACCUCACAGCUCUUCAAUUCCAGAAGCAUGCCCGGAACCCACCCUCCUGAUUUUCCAGCAAGUUCUCUCACCUGGGCUUCAAGAUCCAGUGGAGGAGAAGGAAGGAAGAAUCUGCGUUAAUCAAUGCAUGCUGCGUUCUUUUUCCCGGGAACCUGACCUGCUGAAGUGUUUGCAUAUUCUCAGAUUGUGUGUGCGUGUGUGUGCACUAAUAAAAAUCAUUCACUGACUUGGGUCGAAAAGGCUUUCUCUGGGGCAAAUUGCUAUUUACCCUGACGCCUAAACAAAAUAUAGUUUCAGGCAAUUAAA